AGGCUUCCGGUGACUGUAGGAUAUGGCAAGGU
rnacentral:piRNA from 1 species